GGGAANNCGUUUAUCCGGGAUUUNCUGGGCGUAAAGCGUGCGUAGGCGGCUUAAUUAAGUCAAAUGUGAAAUCCCCGAGCUUAACUUGGGAAUUGCAUUCGAUACUGGUUAGCUAGAGUAUGGGAGAGGAUGGUANAAUUCCAGGUGUAGCGGUAAAAUGCGUAAAGAUCUGGAGGAAUACCGAUGGCAAGGCACCCUCUUGCCCUAAAACUGACGCUAAUNACGAAACUUGGGGAGCCACAGGAUUAAAUACCCUGGUGUCCUUCCCUAAACGAUGUCACCACCCGUUGGGUCUUUUNAACCUUAGGGGCCCCUAACCAAAAAAAAAAANCGCUUGGGGAUUUGCCCGCAAGACUAAACUCAAAUUGUUUUUUGGAGCCCCCAAACANCGGUGGGGCUGGGUGUUUUUUUUUUUCAACGGAAAACC
rnacentral:rRNA from 2 species